CAGCUCCAAUAGCGUAUAUUAAAGUUGUUGCAGUUAAAAAGCUCGUAGUUGAAUUUCGGGAUUGGCGUGUCGGUCGUGCCUUAAGGGGUAUGAACUGGUGUCGUCGAUUUCUCACCUUCUGGAGAAACACGAUGCCCUUAAUUGGGUGUCGUGCGGAACCAGGACCUUUACCUUGAAAAAAUUAGAGUGUUUAAAGCAGGCA
rnacentral:rRNA from 1 species